UACGAAGGGUGCGAGCGUUAAUCGGAAUUACUGGGCGUAAAGCGUGCGCAGGCGGUUAUGUAAGACAGGGGUGAAAUCCCCGGGCUUAACCUGGGAACUGCAUUUGUGACUGCAUAGCUAGAGUACGGUAGAGGGGGAUGGAAUUCCGCGUGUAGCAGUGAAAUGCGUAGAUAUGCGGAGGAACACCGAUGGCGAAGGCAAUCCCCUGGACCUGUACUGACGCUCAUGCACGAAAGCGUGGGGAGCAAACAGG
rnacentral:rRNA from 1 species